rnacentral:rRNA from 1 species
UACAGAGGGUGCAGGCGUUAUCCGGAUUUAUUGGGCGUAAAGCGUUUCGUAGGCGGUUUGGAAAGUUAUCCUUCAAAGACCACGGCUUAACCGGGGGAAGGGGGGUAAUACUGCCAGACUUGAAAUAUGGUGGGGUAUCUGGAACUGAUGUGUAGUAGUGAAAUACGUUGAUAUCAUCAGGAACUCCGAGGGCGAAGGCAGGAUACUAACCAUUUUUUGACGCUGAGGAACGACAGCUAGGGGAGCGAAAGGGAUUAGAGACCCCUGUAGUCCUAGCCGUAAACUAUGCUCGCUAGGGGUUUGGAGUUUACUCCAAGUUCCGUAAGCUAACGCGUUAAGCGAGCCGCCUGGGGAGUACGACCGCAAGGUUAAAACUCAAAGGAAUUGACGGGGACCCGCACAACCAGUGGAGCAUGUGGUUUAAUUCGAGACGAAACGAAGAACCUUACCCAGUUUUGACAUGCUAUCGUUUUAGGCACCUGGAAACAGGAGCCGAUCCUUAGAAAUUUGGAUGAUAGCACAGGUGUUGCAUGGCCGUCGUCAGCUCGUGCCGUAGGGUGUUCCCUUCAGUGGGGUAACGAGCGCAACCCUUGCCAAAUAUUAAAUAUCUAUUUGGGACUAUUUGAAUUUAUUUCAGAUGGAAGUGAGGACGACGUCAGGUCAGCAUGGCCCUUAUGACUGGGGCUACACACAUGCUACAAUGGAGCCGACAGAGGGUAGCCAAGGGGUAACCUGGAGCUAAUCCCAUCAAACGGCUUCUCAGUGGGGAUUGGGGGCUGCAAUUUCGCCCCCAUGAACGCGGAAUUGGUAGUAAUCGCGCAUCAGCUAUGGCGCGGUGAAUACGUUCUCGGGUC